rnacentral:lncRNA from 1 species
GGUGUCACAUGAAUUGGACAGGAAUCUCUUAUAAAUAUUGUGUAGCACCUGAGGUCAACCGGUUGUGGGAUCGUGUUACUUAGUCUCCAGUUUCUUACCUAAUGUUUUUCUUUAUUUGUUGUCAAUUCGUCGUUUUUAAUGAUAACCAAGGUGUUGUCUAUGUUUUUAUUGAAAUUAUGAAUACUGAUUGCCCUCUGCAUCAUAUCUAAGAAGAAGAUAUCUUCAAAAUGUGAUAAAAAAUC